UCAGGAUGAACGCUGGCGGCGUGCCUAAUACAUGCAAGUCGAACGAGUUCUCGUUGAUGAUCGGUGCUUGCACCGAGAUUCAACAUGGAACGAGUGGCGGACGGGUGAGUAACACGUGGGUAACCUGCCCUUAAGUGGGGGAUAACAUUUGGAAACAGAUGCUAAUACCGCAUAGAUCCAAGAACCGCAUGGUUCUUGGCUGAAAGAUGGCGUAAGCUAUCGCUUUUGGAUGGACCCGCGGCGUAUUAGCUAGUUGGUGAGGUAAUGGCUCACCAAGGCGAUGAUACGUAGCCGAACUGAGAGGUUGAUCGGCCACAUUGGGACUGAGACACGGCCCAAACUCCUACGGGAGGCAGCAGUAGGGAAUCUUCCACAAUGGACGCAAGUCUGAUGGAGCAACGCCGCGUGAGUGAAGAAGGCUUUCGGGUCGUAAAACUCUGUUGUUGGAGAAGAAUGGUCGGCAGAGUAACUGUUGUCGGCGUGACGGUAUCCAACCAGAAAGCCACGGCUAACUACGUGCCAGCAGCCGCGGUAAUACGUAGGUGGCAAGCGUUAUCCGGAUUUAUUGGGCGUAAAGCGAGCGCAGGCGGUUUUUUAAGUCUGAUGUGAAAGCCCUCGGCUUAACCGAGGAAGCGCAUCGGAAACUGGGAAACUUGAGUGCAGAAGAGGACAGUGGAACUCCAUGUGUAGCGGUGAAAUGCGUAGAUAUAUGGAAGAACACCAGUGGCGAAGGCGGCUGUCUGGUCUGUAACUGACGCUGAGGCUCGAAAGCAUGGGUAGCGAACAGGAUUAGAUACCCUGGUAGUCCAUGCCGUAAACGAUGAAUGCUAGGUGUUGGAGGGUUUCCGCCCUUCAGUGCCGCAGCUAACGCAUUAAGCAUUCCGCCUGGGGAGUACGACCGCAAGGUUGAAACUCAAAGGAAUUGACGGGGGCCCGCACAAGCGGUGGAGCAUGUGGUUUAAUUCGAAGCAACGCGAAGAACCUUACCAGGUCUUGACAUCUUUUGAUCACCUGAGAGAUCAGGUUUCCCCUUCGGGGGCAAAAUGACAGGUGGUGCAUGGUUGUCGUCAGCUCGUGUCGUGAGAUGUUGGGUUAAGUCCCGCAACGAGCGCAACCCUUAUGACUAGUUGCCAGCAUUUAGUUGGGCACUCUAGUAAGACUGCCGGUGACAAACCGGAGGAAGGUGGGGAUGACGUCAAAUCAUCAUGCCCCUUAUGACCUGGGCUACACACGUGCUACAAUGGAUGGUACAACGAGUUGCGAGACCGCGAGGUCAAGCUAAUCUCUUAAAGCCAUUCUCAGUUCGGACUGUAGGCUGCAACUCGCCUACACGAAGUCGGAAUCGCUAGUAAUCGCGGAUCAGCACGCCGCGGUGAAUACGUUCCCGGGCCUUGUACACACCGCCCGUCACACCAUGAGAGUUUGUAACACCCGAAGCCGGUGGCGUAACCCUUUUAGGGAGCGAGCCGUCUAAGGUGGGACAAAUGAUUAGGGUGAAGUCGUAACAGGUAAACCCG
rnacentral:rRNA from 2 species